UACGUAGGGGGCAAGCGUUGUCCGGAUUUAUUGGGCGUAAAGAGCGUGUAGGCGGUUUGGUAGGUCCGCUGUGAAAACUCGAGGCUCAACCUCGAGACGCCGGUGGAAACCAUCAGACUAGAGUCCGGAAGAGGAGAGUGGAAUUCCCGGUGUAGCGGUGAAAUGCGCAGAUAUCGGGAAGAACACCCGUGGCGAAGGCGGCUCUCUGGGACGGUACUGACGCUGAGACGCGAAAGCGUGGGGAGCGAACAGG
rnacentral:rRNA from 1 species